UCGUUAUUACCUGCAGCCCUCCGGAGCCGGCGGCGCUGCUGGCAGAGCUCCAAGCCCAAACCUCUCCAAAACUCACAGCGAAGGUAAACGGGAGAAUGUCACCUACACCUGGGGCCAAAGCAAUUAGUGACUCAGGCAGCUCUGUCUCCCCUCCUGGUCACAGCCCAGUGGGGCAAAGAGAAGAAACCUAUUAAAGCCCCUUCACAUGUCCACAGGUGGCUCAUCCCACACUGAGCAAGGAGGGCAGGAGCUGGGGUCCCUUCACUGUUGAGCCCCCGUGGGCCCUGGUGAGGCACCGGGAGGUGACGCUGCCUCCGCUUCCCGCGAUGGAUGCGCCGGUGCCAAAGGGCACACAACUAAAUUAUGAGCUGGCACUUACAAGGAGUGAGGGCUCUGGCUUGUGCUUCCAUUAGAGGGUAUCUAUCUGCAUUUAAAGCUGUGGCGCUCUGAUAAGGAGAAGGGAGGAAGCCAGAGAGACCUCAAAAAAUUGCCUGGACGAACUCCGAGAUAAGACUUUUCAGACAGACAAAAAAGCCUGUCCUGAUUUAUAGAGCUUCGUCCGUCCUUGACAGUACCUCUGGAGCUCCUGAUCUUGGCUGUAAAAAAGAAAGUUCCAUCAGAAAUGUGUGUUCUGCCCCCAAACUAUUUAUCCAGACAACCUGUCAACCUACCACAGCCAGAUCCUCUCUUGACAUGGACAAGGCAGCAACACAAUCGGCCGCCUUUUAUUUUUACCCUCUCCCUCUCCCCUGCUCCUGCUAAUCACAGAUGCUUUGUCCGCUCAAUAAUAAAGAUCCCGGGCGCCUCA